rnacentral:tRNA from 1 species
UGUAGCUUAGUGGUAAAGCAUUUGCCUAACAUGUGAGAUAGGCCCUGGGUUCCAUCCCCAGCA